AUUGAACGCUGGCGGCAUGCUUUACACGUGCAAGUCGAACGGCAGCGCGGGCUUCGGCCUGGCGGCGAGUGGCGAACGGGCGAGUAAUACAUCGGAACGUGCCCAGUAGUGGGGGAUAGCUCGGCGAAAGCCGGAUUAAUACCGCAUACGACCUGAGGGUGAAAGCGGGGGAUCUUCGGACCUCGCGCUAUUGGAGCGGCCGAUGGCAGAUUAGCUAGUUGGUGGGGUAAAGGCCUACCAAGGCGACGAUCUGUAGCUGGUCUGAGAGGACGACCAGCCACACUGGGACUGAGACACGGCCCAGACUCCUACGGGAGGCAGCAGUGGGGAAUUUUGGACAAUGGGCGAAAGCCUGAUCCAGCAAUGCCGCGUGUGUGAUGAAGGCCUUCGGGUUGUAAAGCACUUUUGGCGGGAACGAAAAGGACUGUGCCAAUACCACGGUUCGAUGGCGGUACCCGCAGAAUAAGCACCGGCUAACUACGUG
rnacentral:rRNA from 1 species